UUUUAUGAGAGUUUGAUCCUGGCUCAGGACGAACGCUGGCGGCGUGCCUAAUACAUGCAAGUCGAACGCUUCUUUUUCCACCGGAGCUUGCUCCAUCGGAAAAAGAGGAGUGGCGAACGGGUGAGUAACACGUGGGUAACCUGCCCAUCAGAAGGGGAUAACACUUGGAAACAGGUGCUAAUACCGUAUAACAAUCGAAACCGCAUGGUUUUGAUUUGAAAGGCGCUUUCGGGUGUCGCUAAUGGAUGGACCCGCGGUGCAUUAGCUAGUUGGUGAGGUAACGGCUCACCAAGGCGACGAUGCAUAGCCGACCUGAGAGGGUGAUCGGCCACAUUGGGACUGAGACACGGCCCAAACUCCUACGGGAGGCAGCAGUAGGGAAUCUUCGGCAAUGGACGAAAGUCUGACCGAGCAACGCCGCGUGAGUGAAGAAGGUUUUCGGAUCGUAAAACUCUGUUGUUAGAGAAGAACAAGGAUGAGAGUAACUGUUCAUCCCUUGACGGUAUCUAACCAGAAAGCCACGGCUAACUACGUGCCAGCAGCCGCGGUAAUACGUAGGUGGCAAGCGUUGUCCGGAUUUAUUGGGCGUAAAGCGAGCGCAGGCGGUUUCUUAAGUCUGA
rnacentral:rRNA from 1 species